GAGGAGAGGGAAGGUUGUAAUGGUGCCUGUGGCUGAAGGCAGAGUCAGUUUAACUCUGCAUGCAGCAUUAGUCUAUCUGUUGUAUCUUUCAGGUAUUCUCCAAGCUGUCCUUUAUUAGAAAUAAUGUUAUAUUCGGAGCUCCAUCUGCCCAUUCUUUUGCUGAUCUCAACUGGUUCAGAACUCUGGUGGGGAAAUGAGGGCUAUUGUAUAUUGACUCACUUACAAAACAAAACAAAAAAGGAUAUAGGCCAUCCAUGGCACUAAGUAUAAAUAAAUAUGUACAUCAUUUUUUUCUGUGAAAUAUGUAUAUUAGUAAAGCAUGGAUAUGUUUCUCAAUGUGGACAUAUUAUGAGUGCUCCCUUUUUCCAAGAAGCAUAAAGUGUGUAGUAUAAAGUAUAUAUACUUCAUAGAAGUAUGUAUACAUGUCCAUGAAUGUCAUAGAGAGAGGAAGAAGGGAGUUAUAAAUUACAUGUGUGUGUGCAUUUCUCUCUUCAUGUAAAUAGGGAAGGGUGGUUACACAAUUUGGGAGUAUGUUUUUGGAAAAACAAGAGUUAACCUAAAUAAGGAAACACUGAUUAGCAUGGGUGAUCAUACAAACAACUGGGUAAUAAAAACAUGUUAUGAGAGUUAAAUUUUCAAGGGAAAUCAACAUGAAAACUCUACUCCUACUCCCUCCGCCGCUGCUAGGUGACUCUACUACCCACAGCGAGAUGGUUCUGAAGCACAACGAGAAGAAGAGAAAACUAAGCCUUGCGUCUUACCACAGUCAAUGACAUCCACGAGGACAUUAGAACCUCGGUAGAUGUCCUCAUUUUCCUAAGCAAUCAUGAGCCAGUUUGUUUAGAAGUCUGAAAGUCCCUUGCAGUGUGAAAAGCCCUUUGGCGGCUUACCUAAUGGCUGGAAUAGAAGCAGAAAGGGCCAGGCAAGGCCCUGAGUCUAAGAGCAUCUCUUCCUGAAGAGCCUGGAACUCCCUGGAAAUACAGUGCAGGCCAAGCUG
rnacentral:lncRNA from 1 species